rnacentral:rRNA from 1 species
UCCUGGCGUCAGGAUGAACGCUGCGGCAUGCCUAAUACAUGCAAGUCGAACGAGAGACCUUCGGGUCUCUAGUGGCGAACGGGUGAGUAACACGUAGGGAACCUGCCCGCGCACCGGGAAUACGCUCUGGAAACGGAGAACAAAUCCCGAUGUACAGGAAGGAGGCAUCUUCUUUCUGUGAAACAUCCUUUAGGGGAUGGGGCGCGGAUGGACCUGCGGUGCAUUAGUUGGUUGGCGGGGUAAAGGCCCACCAAGACGAUGAUGCAUAGCCGGCCUGAGAGGGCGGACGGCCACAUUGGGACUGAGACACGGCCCAGACUCCUGCGGGAGGCAGCAGUAGGGAAUUUUCGUCAAUGGGCGCAAGCCUGAACGAGCGAUGCCGCGUGAGUGAAGAAGGCCUUCGGGUCGUAAAGCUCUGUUGCGGGGGAAAAAGGCAGCAUCAGGAAAUGGGUGCUGACUGAUGGUGCCCCGCCAGAAAGUCACGGCUAACUACGUG